GAUGAACGCUGGCGGCGUGCCUAAUACAUGCCAGUCGAGCGAACGGACGAGAAGCUUGCUUCUCUGAUGUUAGCGGCGGGCGGGUGAGUAACACGUGGAUAACCUACCUAUAAGACUGGGAUAACUUCGGGAAACCGGAGCUAAUACCGGAUAAUAUUUUGAACCGCAUGGUUCAAAAGUGAAAGACGGUCUUGCUGUCACUUAUAGAUGGAUCCGCGCUGCAUUAGCUAGUUGGUAAGGUAACGGCUUACCAAGGCAACGAUGCAUAGCCGACCUGAGAGGGUGAUCGGCCACACUGGAACUGAGACACGGUCCAGACUCCUACGGGAGGCAGCAGUAGGGAAUCUUCCGCAAUGGGCGAAAGCCUGACGGAGCAACGCCGCGUGAGUGAUGAAGGUCUUCGGAUCGUAAAACUCCGUUAUUAGGGAAGAACAUAUGUGUAAGUAACUGUGCACAUCUUGACGGUACCUAAUCAGAAAGCCACGGCUAACUACGUG
rnacentral:rRNA from 1 species